rnacentral:tRNA from 1 species
GGUUGGAUGGCCGAGUGGUUAAGGCGCCAGUUUUAGGCACUGGUGGGAAACCGCGUGGGUUCGAACCCCACUCCAGCCA